rnacentral:rRNA from 1 species
GGGAAUAUUGCACAAUGGGGGGAACCCUGAUGCAGCGACGCCGCGUGGGUGAAGGAGCACCUCGGUGCGUAAAGCCCUAUCGGCAGGGAAGAAACAGACGGUACCUGACUAAGAAGCCCCGGCUAACUACGUGCCAGCAGCCGCGGUAAUACGUAGGGGGCAAGCGUUAGCCGGAUUCACUGGGUGUAAAGGGAGCGUAGACGGCGACGCAAGCCAGGAGUGAAAGCCCGGGGCCCAACCCCGGGACUGCUCUUGGAACUGCAUGGCUGGAGUACAGGAGGGGCAGGCGGAAUUCCUAGUGUAGCGGUGAAAUGCGUAGAUAUUAGGAGGAACACCGGUGGCGAAGGCGGCCUGCUGGACUGUGACUGACGUUGAGGCCCGAAGGCGUGGGGAGCAAACAG